GGCUGCAUGCUGUAGUGGUUAGCACCUUUGCCUCACAGCAAGAAGGUUCUGGGUUCGAAUCCCGGUUCAACCA
rnacentral:tRNA from 14 species